UGGGGAAUCUUCCACAAUGGGCGCAAGCCUGAUGGAGCAACACCGCGUGAGUGAAGAAGGGUUUCGGCUCGUAAAGCUCUGUUGUUAAAGAAGAACACGUAUGAGAGUAACUGUUCAUACGUUGACGGUAUUUAACCAGAAAGUCACGGCUAACUACGUGCCAG
rnacentral:rRNA from 1 species